UGAAAUUUAAUGAUGAUUUCAUAGUUCAAAUGAACCCUGAUUACACUUUUAAUUCGUCUUUCGCUCCUAUCUGAAAAAUCAC